UACGUAGGGCGCAAGCGUUAUCCGGAGUUACUGGGCGUAAAGCGCGGGCAGGCGGCUCGAUGCGUCCGAUGUGAAAUCUCCUCGCUCAACGGGGAGAGGCCAUUGGAAACGGUCGGGCUGGAGGGCAGUAGAGGCAGGCGGAAUUCCGGGUGGAGUGGUGAAAUGCGUAGAGAUCCGGAGGAACACCAGAGGCGAAGGCGGCCUGCUGGGCUGCUCCUGACGCUGAAACGCGAAAGCCAGGGGAGCGAACGGG
rnacentral:rRNA from 1 species